AUGGAGAUUGACCGAUUAAAGGUUUCUCCGAAGUGUAAUGGCUCCAUACCUAACCCCGAAACUGAGGAGGAGGAUGAAGCAUAUGCCAAAUAUGAUGGUCCGCUUAUAUCCCACUUGGUUGGUGAGGUUACCGAGGUUGGAUUGGAUGACGCAAGACCUGGGUCCAUGUUUUGUGACUUCGGGUCCAUGUUUUGUGACUUCACAGCGUCCUCGCAGAAAUCUAAAUCACACUCCUCUAAAAAGAAACAAAAACCGCCCAAGAAGGUGAGGAGUUCCACACCAAUCCGAGUUUCCCCAUGA
rnacentral:rRNA from 1 species